ACUCAGUGGUCACUCAGUGGUCACUCAGCGGUCAGUGGCCACUCAUUGGUCACUCUGUGGUCACUCAGUGGUCACUCAAUGGGCAGUAUAAGGGCAGUAUAAGGGCAGUGGUCACUCAUUGGUCACUCAAUGGGCAGUAUAAGGGCAGUGGUCACUCAGUGGUCACUCAAUGGGCAGUAUAAGGGCAAUAUAAGGGCAGUGGUCACUCAUUGGUCAGUAAUGGUCACUCAGUGGUCACCCAGUGGUCACUCAGUGGUCACUCAGUGGUCACUCAUUGUUCAGUGGUCACUCAGUGGUCACUCAGUGGUCACUCAAUGGGCAGUAUAAGGGCAAUAUAAGGGCAGUGGUCACUCAUUGGUCACUCAGUGGUCACUCAGGGGUCACUCAGUGGUCACUCAUUGGUCAGUGGUCACUCAAUGGUCACUCAGUGGUCACUCACUUCCGGCCGAGCUCUCUCAGGUCGUGCCCCCAUGACCGGUCAGUGGUCAGUGUGGUCAGUAAUGGUCACUCAAUGGUCACUCAGUGGUCACUCAGUGGUCACUCAGCGGUCAGUGGUCACUCAGGGAUGUUCUGUAUUGGUCAUUGGUCACUCAGUG
rnacentral:lncRNA from 1 species